UACCAGCACCCCGAGUGGUCGGGACGUUUAUUGGGCCUAAAGCAUCCGUAGCCGGUUCUACAAGUCUUCCGUUAAAUCCAGCUGCUUAACAGAUGGGCUGCGGAAGAUACUAUGGAGCUAGGAGGCGGGAGAGGCAAGCGGUACUCGAUGGGUAGGGGUAAAAUCCGUUGAUCCAUUGAAGACCACCAGUGGCGAAGGCGGCUUGCCAGAACGCGCUCGACGGUGAGGGAUGAAAGCUGGGGGAGCAACCGG
rnacentral:rRNA from 1 species